rnacentral:rRNA from 1 species
UUGUUGGUAAGGUAAAAGCUUACCAAGGCUUCGAUCAGUAGCUGGUCUGAGAGGACGACCAGCCACACUGGGACUGAGACACGGCCCAGACUCCUACGGGAGGCAGCAGUGGGGAAUUUUGGACAAUGGGGGCAACCCUGAUCCAGCCAUGCCGCGUGAGUGAAGAAGGCCUUCGGGUUGUAAAGCUCUUUCAGCCGGAACGAAACGGUUACGGUUAAUACCCGUGACUACUGACGGUACCGGAAGAAGAAGCACCGGCUAACUACGUGCCAGCAGCCGCGGUAAUACGUAGGGUGCGAGCGUUAAUCGGAAUUACUGGGCGUAAAGCGUGCGCAGGUGGUUUUGUAAGUCAGAUGUGAAAGCCCCGGGCUCAACCUGGGAACUGCGUUUGAAACUACAAGACUAGAGUGUGGCAGAGGGGGGUGGAAUUCCGCGUGUAGCAGUGAAAUGCGUAGAGAUGUGGAGGAACACCGAUGGCGAAGGCAGCCCCCUGGGUCAACACUGACGCUCAGGCACGAAAGCAUGGGGAGCAAACAGGAUUAGAUACCCUGGUAGUCCAUGCCCUAAACGAUGUCAACUAGUUGUCGGGCCUUUACGGGCUUGGUAACGCAGCUAACGCGUGAAGUUGACCGCCUGGGGAGUACGAUCGCAAGAUUAAAACUCAAAUGAAUUGACGGGGACCCGCACAAGCGGUGGAUUAUGUGGAUUAAUUCGAUGCAACGCGAAAAACCUUACCUACCCUUGACAUGUAUCGAAGCCCGCAGAAAAGCGGGGGUGCCCGAAAGGGAACGAUAACACAGGUGCUGCAUGGCUGUCGUCAGCUCGUGUCGUGAGAUGUUGGGUUAAGUCCCGCAACGAGCGCAACCCUUGUCAUUAAUUGCCAUCAUUUAGUUGGGCACUUUAAUGAGACUGCCGG